AACGAACGCUGGCGGCAGGCCUAACACAUGCAAGUCGAGCGCGCCUUCGGGUGAGCGGCGGACGGGUGAGUAACACGUGGGAAUAUGCCUUUCGGUGCGGAAUAGUCUUGGGAAACUGAGGGUAAUACCGCAUAUGCCCCUUGGGGGAAAGAUUUAUCGCCGAAAGAUUAGCCCGCGUUGGAUUAGGUAGUUGGUGGGGUAAUGGCCUACCAAGCCGACGAUCCAUAGCUGGUUUGAGAGGAUGAUCAGCCACACUGGGACUGAGACACGGCCCAGACUCCUACGGGAGGCAGCAGUGGGGAAUCUUAGACAAUGGGGGCAACCCUGAUCUAGCCAUGCCGCGUGAGUGAUGAAGGCCUUAGGGUUGUAAAGCUC
rnacentral:rRNA from 1 species